rnacentral:rRNA from 1 species
GACGAACGCUGGCGGCGUGCCUAAUACAUGUAAGUAGAACGCACAGUUUAUACCGUAGCUUGCUACACCAUAGACUGUGAGUUGCGAACGGGUGAGUAACGCGUAGGUAACCUGCCUGGUAGCGGGGGAUAACUAUUGGAAACGAUAGCUAAUACCGCAUAAUAUUAAUUAUUGCAUGAUAAUUAAUUGAAAGGUGCAAUUGCACCACUACCAGAUGGACCUGCGUUGUAUUAGCUAGUAGGUGAGGUAACGGCUCACCUAGGCGACGAUACAUAGCCGACCUGAGAGGGUGAUCGGCCACACUGGGACUGAGACAUGGCCCAGACUCCUACGGGAGGCAGCAGUAGGGAAUCUUCGGCAAUGGACGAAAGUCUGACCGAGCAACGCCGCGUGAGUGAAGAAGGUUUUCGGAUCGUAAAGCUCUGUUGUAAGAGAAGAACGGGUGUGAGAGUGGAAAGUUCACACUGUGACGGUAUCUUACCAGAAAGGGACGGCUAACUACGUG